rnacentral:rRNA from 1 species
AUUGAACGCUGGCGGCAGGCCUAACACAUGCAAGUCGAGCGGAUGAAGGGAGCUUGCUCUCUGAUUCAGCGGCGGACGGGUGAGUAAUGCCUAGGAAUCUGCCUGGUAGUGGGGGACAACGUUUCGAAAGGAACGCUAAUACCGCAUACGUCCUACGGGAGAAAGCAGGGGACCUUCGGGCCUUGCGCUAUCAGAUGAGCCUAGGUCGGAUUAGCUAGUUGGUGAGGUAAUGGCUCACCAAGGCGACGAUCCGUAACUGGUCUGAGAGGAUGAUCAGUCACACUGGAACUGAGACACGGUCCAGACUCCUACGGGAGGCAGCAGUGGGGAAUAUUGGACAAUGGGCGAAAGCCUGAUCCAGCCAUGCCGCGUGUGUGAAGAAGGUCUUCGGAUUGUAAAGCACUUUAAGUUGGAGGAAGGGUU